GAAGAGAGAGUUCAAGAGUACGUGAAACCGUNUGGGAGUAAACGGGUGGUUCCCGAAAGUACGAAAGGGGAGAUUCAGGUCUUCGCCGCGCGUCGGGCGGCGCACGCGAUCCGAGAUGGUGUUCUCGCGGCCGUGGGGCAACCCACGGUCCGGGGNNNGCUCCACUCCGCGGGCGCCGUUUGAUCCCUUCGCCGGAGUGACGCACUUCUCCCCCAGUAGAACGUCGCGACCCGUCGGGCGCCGGCCUAAGGUCCCGGGUGGAGUCUGCGCGGCUUGCCGCGCACGACCCCGGGGUUNCCGGCCGGGUGCUCNACGGUACNAANAGAGGAAGNANUNGACGCNCCUCUCGUCNGCGUCCGACCCUCCGCAAGCGCCCGCGGGAGUCCGAGAUUCCGGGCCCGGCCCGGUCUCGGUCCCUCCGCGGGGCUGUUUGCGAUCAGGAGGUGUCCUCGGAC
rnacentral:rRNA from 1 species